AUUGAACGCUGGCGGCAGGCCUAACACAUGCAAGUCGAGCGAGUGGCGGACGGGUGAGUAAUGUCUGGGGAUCUGCCCGAUAGAGGGGGAUAACUACUGGAAACGGUGGCUAAUACCGCAUACUAUCGGAUGAACCCAUAUGGGAUUAGCUAGUAGGUGGGGUAAAGGCUCACCUAGGCGACGAUCCCUAGCUGGUCUGAGAGGAUGACACACAAAACUGGAACUGAGAAACGGCCCAGACUCCUACGGGAGGAAGGAGUGGGGAAUAUUGCACAAUGGGCUCAAGCCUGAUGCAGCCAUGCCGCUUGUAUGAAGAAGGCCUUAGGGUUGUAAAGUACUUUCAGCGGGGAGGCGUUACCCGCAGAAGAAGCACCGGCUAACUCCGUGCCAGCCGCCGCGGUAAUAC
rnacentral:rRNA from 1 species